rnacentral:rRNA from 1 species
GCUCAGAACGAACGCUGGCGGCAGGCCUAACACAUGCAAGUCGAGCGCAUAGCAAUAUGAGCGGCGGACGGGUUAGUAACGCGUGGGAACGUACCCUUUUCUUCGGAAUAGCUUUGGGAAACUGAAGGUAAUACCGGAUACGCCCUUUUGGGGAAAGAUUUAUCGGAGAAGGAUCGGCCCGCGUCUGAUUAGAUAGUUGGUGGGGUAAUGGCCUACCAAGUCUACGAUCAGUAGCUGGUUUGAGAGGAUGAUCAGCAACACUGGGACUGAGACACGGCCCAGACUCCUACGGGAGGCAGCAGUGGGGAAUCUUAGACAAUGGGCGCAAGCCUGAUCUAGCCAUGCCGCGUGAGUGAUGAAGGCCUUAGGGUCGUAAAGCUCUUUCGCUGGGGAAGAUAAUGACGGUACCCAGUAAAGAAACCCCGCCUAACUCCGUGCCAGCAGCCGCGGUAAUACGGAGGGGGUUAGCGUUGUUCGGAAUUACUGGGCGUAAAGCGCGCGUAGGCGGAUCAGAAAGUAGGGGGUGAAAUCCCAGGGCUCAACCCUGGAAUUGCCUUCUAAACUCCUGGUCUUGAGUUCGAGAGAGGUGAGUGGAAUUCCGAGUGUAGAGGUGAAAUUCGUAGAUAUUCGGAGGAACACCAGUGGCGAAGGCGGCUCACUGGCUCGAUACUGACGCUGAG